rnacentral:tRNA from 1 species
GGGGGUAUGCUAGAGCGGUCAAAUAGGGCAGACUGUAAAUCUGUUGGCUAUGCCUACGGUGGUUCGAAUCCAUCUGCCCCCA